GGAGGUGGCUCAGCGGUAGAGUGCUUGCCUUGCAUGCAUGAGGUCCUGGGUUCGAUUCCCCAGCACAUCUG
rfam:Dipodomys ordii contig_23376, whole genome shotgun sequence.